GACUGUCUCUGCGCACGCGCCAGGCCUGUAUAUCCGGACGAACCGAUCGCUCCUCCUUCUUUCGGUUCUGGGAUUUUGAGAUCCUUGUUGACAUGAGAGCUAAGUGGCGGAAGAAGCGUAUGCGCAGGCUGAAGCGUAAAAGACGAAAGAUGAGGCAGAGGUCCAGGUGAACAACUGCUGAAGCUGCAGUACUGAUCAGUCUUCGUUGAAUCUUACAUGGCAAAUGGACUCUGCGCUUCUGUUUAUACAUCUUUUUAAGACCAACAAUUUAGAGGCACUUCAGAUGCUGGUCAUGAGAAGAUCUUUUACAUUGGUCUGUUGUGGUACUGUGCCUUCAUGUACAGUAGUUGUGAAAUAAAAUGUGAAAACUCA